rnacentral:misc_RNA from 1 species
UACGAGUCCCCGGCAUAACCCGCUGGCAACUAAGGACAGGGGUUGCGCUCGUUGCGGCACUUAAGCCAACACCUCACGGCACGAGCUGACGACAGCCAUGCAGCACCUGUGCUAGCCCCUUACGGACACGGGCUUUCACCCGCUUUAACUAGCAUGUCAAGCCUAGGUAAGGUUCUUCGCGUUGCAUCGAAUUAAGCCACAUGCUCCGCCGCUUGUGCGGGUCCCCGUCAAUUCCUUUGAGUUUUAGCCUUGCGGUCGUACUUCCCAGGUGGAUUACUUAAUGCCUUCGCUCAGACACUUGCUGUGUAUCGCAAAUGUCGAGUAAUCAUCGUUUAGGGCGUGGACUAC